CAGGGAGGUAGUGACAAGAAAUAACAAUACAGGGCAAUUGUCUUGUAAUUGGAAUGAUGGUGACCUAAACCCUCACCAGAGUAACAAUUGGAGGGCAAGUCUGGUGCCAGCAGCCGCGGUAAUUCCAGCUCCAAUAGCGUAUAUUAAACUUGUUGCAGUUAAAAAGCUCGUAGUUGAAUUUCUGCGUUAUCGAGUUAUUGACUCUUGUCUUUAAUCGAUUUCGCUUUUGGGAUUUAUCCCUUUUUACUUUGAGAAAAUUAGAGUGUUUCAAGCAGACUUUUGUCUUGAAUACUUCAGCAUGGAAUAAUAGAGUAGGACUUUGGUUCUAUUUUGUUGGUUUUUGAACCUUAGUAAUGGUUAAUAGGAACGGUUG
rnacentral:rRNA from 1 species